UGCACAGUGGAAGGCAUCCUCCCUCACUACAGGAAAAUGUGCAACAGCCACCAAAAAUGCCACAUUGAGCUUUUGGAGGACGAGUCCUGCCCUGCUGUCUCCAAAUAUCUAGAGAUGGUCUAUAGCUGUGAACAGAAAGUAUGUCUUGGCAGUUUGGGCAUCACAGACUCGUUCUUCAAAGCCUCCUCCUCAAUGACAGACACCACGCCUGAAAAAGCCCGCCUCAACGGAGAGUCCUGCUAGAGGCCGUCAAAAAAUCCCGUCGGCAGCUGGAUCCAGGUGAACCUCGAUUACAAGAGAAAGGUGACGGGGAUUGUGACCCAGGGGUGUGAUGACACUAAUACUCGCUCCUGGAACAUCCAACUUGAGAUGAAGCUGAGCGUUGAUCGGAGGAAGUGGACAAAACACCCGGACGGGAAAUUUAUUGGUGGUGGGACUCAUCUGCUUGAGACGCCCGCGUU